UAGGGAAUCUUCCGCAAUGGGCGAAAGCCUGACGGAGCAACGCCGCGUGAGUGAUGAAGGUCUUCGGAUCGUAAAACUCUGUUAUUAGGGAAGAACAAAUGUGUAAGUAACUAUGCACGUCUUGACGGUACCUAAUCAGAAAGCCACGGCUAACUACGUGCCAGCAGCCGCGGUAAUACGUAGGUGGCAAGCGUUAUCCGGAAUUAUUGGGCGUAAAGCGCGCGUAGGCGGUUUUUCAAGUCUGAUGUGAAAGCCCACGGCUCAACCGUGGUGGGUCAUUGGAAACUGGAAAACUUGAGUGCAGAAGAGGAAAGUGGAAUUCCAUGUGUAGCGGUGAAAUGCGCAGAGAUAUGGAGGAACACCAGUGGCGAAGGCGACUUUCUGGUCUGUAACUGACGCUGAUGUGCGAAAGCGUGGGGAUCAAACAGG
rnacentral:rRNA from 1 species